CACUGCUUUGACGUACUGCAGUGUUUCCGGGUUAUGGUGUCGUGCCCUGUUUCGCAGAAAACGUCACGAACACCAUUUUUCCAAUAUUAUCACACAGGGUGUCAAAUUCAGGAGGUCCUGGAGGGCCGCUGUCCGGCAUAUUUUCCAAGUCUCCCUGUUGCAACACACCUGAUUCAAAUGAUCAGAUCAUCAGCAAGCUCUGCGGAAGCCUGACAUUGAACCUGUUCAUUUGAAUCAGUUCGUGUUCCUGGGCACAGUUUUGGGUUGAAGUCAACAAUUCCGCCACUAGAUGUCACACUGAACACAAUAUCUCCUGCAUAAAGCCAGUGAGAAAAAAAAAUACCUCGAGCUGAUGAGUUGAGUGGUGAGGAAUGAACCAACCUUCUUUUGUCUACAACGAACUGGACACAUUAGACACACAUGACUCCCAACAUCCAAUGAAAGGGUCCAAAAUGAUGUCCGAGUUGUCCUCGAUGAUGAUUCCUGUGCGGAAAUUGAGUACCAGGUCCAUAAGGAAGAAUGUGUCCGAGACUACGUUGAAGAUGAUCCAGGGCGUGGUGGUCUCCUCUUUGAAGAAGGUGAUGCCCACGGGGAUGAUGAUCAGGUUGCCCACCAUAAACAGCAGCAUUGUGAAAUCCCAGUAGAACCUUUAGCGGGCAUGACGAGUGUU